GUCUACGGCCAUACCACCCUGAACGUGCCCGAUCUCAUCUGAUCUCGGAAGCUAAGCAGGGUUGGGCCUGGUUAGUACUCAGAUGGGAGAAAAUUUAGGACACCACUGAGU
rnacentral:rRNA from 1 species